CCUACGGGGGUCAGCAGUGGGGAAUAUUGCACAAUGGGGGAAACCCUGAUGCAGCGACGCCGCGUGAGCGAUGAAGUAUUUCGGUAUGUAAAGCUCUAUCAGCAGGGAAGAAAAUGACGGUACCUGACUAAGAAGCCCCGGCUAACUACGGGCCAGCAGCCGCGGUAAUACGUAGGGGGCAAGCGUUAUCCGGAUUUACUGGGUGUAAAGGGAGCGUAGACGGUCCUGCAAGCCAGAUGUGAAAGCCCGGGGCUCAACCCCGGGACUGCAGUUGGAACUGUAAGGCUAGAGUGUCGGAGAGGCAGGCGGAAUUCGUGGUGUAGCGGUGAAAUGCGUAGAUAUUAGGAAGAACACCAGUGGCGAAGGCAGCUUGCUGGACGAUGACUGACGUUGAGGCUCGAAAGCGUGGGGAGCAAACAGGAUUAGAUACCCUUGUAGCC
rnacentral:rRNA from 1 species